rfam:Paenibacillus sp. Y412MC10, complete genome.
AGCACCUUUAAAUCAGUCCCGUGAGGCUGGCAAGGUAACGUGAACCGAGGUUCAUUAACAGGAGGCAUGGCUCUGUCUGCGGAUAGAUGCUGCGCUUUCCACACCAUCUCUAUGAGAUCAACUCCUUGUCCAGCCGGGCAAGGAGUUUUUUUGU